GACGAACGCUGGCGGCGUGCUUAACACAUGCAAGUCGAACGGACCUUCUGAUCUUUUGGUUGGUUGGUUAGUGGCGAACGGGUGAGUAACACGUGAGUAACCUGCCCUUCUCUUCGGGAUAACUGUCGGAAACGGUGGCUAAUACCGGAUAUUCAUAUGCUGUCGCAUGGUGGUGUGUGGAAAGAUUUUUUGGUGGGGGAUGGACUCGCGGCCUAUCAGCUUGUUGGUGAGGUAGUGGCUUACCAAGGCUUUGACGGGUAGCCGGCCUGAGAGGGCGACCGGCCACACUGGGACUGAGAUACGGCCCAGACUCCUACGGGAGGCAGCAGUGGGGAAUAUUGCACAAUGGGCGGAAGCCUGAUGCAGCGACGCCGUGUGCGGGAUGACGGCCUUCGGGUUGUAAAGCUCUGUCUUCAGGGACGAUAAUGACGGUACCUGAGGAGGAAGCCACGGCUAACUACGUGCCAGCCGCCGCAGUAACAC
rnacentral:rRNA from 1 species